UUCGCAAUGCCCGAAAGGGUGACGAAGCGACGCCGCGUGUGGGAAGAAGGCCUUCGGGUUGUAAACCACUGUCGGGAGCUAAGAAAUGCAAGGAUAUUAAUAGUGUCUUUGUUUGACUAAGGCUCCGGAGGAAGCCACGGCUAACUCUGUGCCAGCAGCCGCGGUAAUACAGAGGCGGCAAGCGUUGUUCGGAAUUAUUGGGCGUAAAGAGCACGUAGGCGGCUAUGUAAGUCGGUUGUGAAAGCCUUCCGCUCAACGGAAGAACAGCAUCCGAUACUACAUGGCUUGAGUGCGGGAGGGGAGAGUGGAACUUCUGGUGGAGCGGUGAAAUGCGUAGAUAUCAGAAGGAACGCCGGCGGCGAAAGCGGCUCUCUGGCCCAUAACUGACGCUGAGUGUGCGAAAGUUAGGGGAGCAAACGGGAUUAGAUACCCCGGUAGUCCUAACUGUAAACGAUGGGCACUAAGUAGAGGGGUUUU
rnacentral:rRNA from 1 species